rnacentral:tRNA from 1 species
GGGGAUUUACCUCAGUGGCAUAAGGGCCUGCCUAGCAAGCACGAGGUUGUGAGUUCAAUCCCCA